UCGCACUCAUUCGUGGUACACAGGCCAACUCUCGAGACUACGCCUCCUGUUUUAUUCCUCCCUUAUCUCCUGCUUCACUGCCCGCUCCAACCACGUCGUCAAGCUCGUUCACCUGCUCACCUGCCAGUUCCUUGCUCCUUCAGAUCACCCUCACGCAUUGGAAAUACUAACCUUGAGCUACUUCUAAAUAAGCCAUUCUCCUCUACUCCCUCCACCUCAGUCUGCUUUUGGGUCCAGUCCAAUACCAUAAGGUUACAUAUCGUGACAGACGUACAUUCUUGAAGCCCCGGUAGAGAACCUGCAGCUCCUUCUUGGUGAACUUUGUCUGCUCCUGCAGCUUGUCCAUGCUUUCUGGCCGAUGGCACACGGUGGAGAGCUCAAAGUCAUCUUCUAC